rnacentral:rRNA from 1 species
AUGUCUUUUAAUUGAAGAAUAGAAUGAAAGGUUUGACAAGAAUGUUACUAUAUACCUAUAUUUGUUAAAAGUUAAUCUUUAAGUUAAAAAGCUUAAAUUAAAUUAAAAGACGAGAAGACCCUGUUGAGCUUUAAGAAGGUAAGCAUAUUUACUCUAGUUAUUUAAAGAUAUAAAUAAAUUAGCUAAAAUUUUAGUUGGGGCGACUUAGGAGAAAAAAAAACUUCCUAUAUAUUUUAAAACUAUUUAGUUUUAAUCCAAAUUGUUUUGAACUAAGAACAAGUUACCACAGGGAUAACAGCGUGAUUUUUCUUGAGAGUCCUAAUCGAAAGAAAAGUUUACGACCUCGAUGUUGGAUUAAGAAAUAAUAAAGGUUGUAGAAGCUUUUAUAAUUAGUCUGUUCGACUGCUAAUAUCUUACAUGAUCUGAGUUCAAACCGGA